rnacentral:rRNA from 1 species
GACGAACGCUGGCGGCGUGCUUAACACAUGCAAGUCGAACGGAAAGGCCCUGCUUUUGUGGGGUGCUCGAGUGGCGAACGGGUGAGUAACACGUGAGUAACCUGCACUUGACUUUGGGAUAACUUCAGGAAACUGGGGCUAAUACCGGAUAGGAGCUCCUGCUGCAUGGUGGGGGUUGGAAAGUUUCGGCGGUUGGGGAUGGACUCGCGGCUUAUCAGCUUGUUGGUGGGGUAGUGGCUUACCAAGGCUUUGACGGGUAGCCGGCCUGCGAGGGUGACCGGCCACAUUGGGCCUGAGAUACGGCCCAGACUCCUACGGUAGGCAGCAGUGGGGAAUAUUGCACAAUGGGCGGAAGCCUGAUGCAGCAACGCCGCGUGCGGGAUGACGGCCUUCGGGUUGUAAACCGCUUUCGCCUGUGACGAAGCGUGAGUGACGGUAAUGGGUAAAGAAGCACCGGCUAACUACGUG